ACUCCUACGGGAGGCAGCAGUGAGGAAUAUUGGACAAUGGGUGGAAGCCUGAUCCAGCCAUCCCGCGUGCAGGAAGACGGCCCUAUGGGUUGUAAACUGCUUUUAUCUGGGGAUAAACCUACUUACGUGUAAGUAGCUGAAGGUACCAGAAGAAUAAGCACCGGCUAACUCCGUGCCAGCAGCCGCGGUAAUACGGAGGGUGCAAGCGUUAUCCGGAUUUAUUGGGUUUAAAGGGUCCGUAGGCGGACUGAUAAGUCAGUGGUGAAAUCCGACAGCUUAACUGUCGAACUGCCAUUGAUACUGUUAGUCUUGAGUAAGGUUGAAGUGGCUGGAAUAAGUAGUGUAGCGGUGAAAUGCAUAGAUAUUACUUAGAACACCAAUUGCGAAGGCAGGUCACUAAGUCUUAACUGACGCUGAUGGACGAAAGCGGGGGGAGCGAACAGGAGUAGAAACCCCGGUAGUCCCA
rnacentral:rRNA from 1 species